rnacentral:rRNA from 1 species
AUUGAACGCUGGCGGCAGGCAUAACACAUGCAAGUCGAACGAGUGGCGGACGGGUGAGUAAUGCUUGGGAAUCUAGCUUAUGGAGGGGGAUAACUACGGGAAACUGUAGCUAAUACCGCGUACCAUAGGAUGAGCCCAAGUGGGAUUAGGUAGUUGGUGAGGUAAAGGCUCACCAAGCCGACGAUCUCUAGCUGGUCUGAGAGGAUGACCAGCGACACUGGAACUGAGACAGGGUCCAGACGCAUACGGGAGGCAGCAGUGGGGAAUAUUGGACAAGGGGCGGAAGCCUGAUGCAGCCAGGCCGCGUGUAUGAAGAAGGCCUGCGGGUUGUAAAGUACUUUCAUCGAGGAGGCGUGAAUCGCAGAAGAAGCACCGGCUAACUCCGUGCCAGCAGCCGCGGUAAUUC